GUCAUCAGGAAAACUGGAUGGUUUUGUUGACCUGGGUCAGUUCACAACUGAAAAGGACAAAGCUGUUCCAGCUGACCACGGUUUAGUACUGCUUUUCCAACCAUUUUCAGGGAAGUGGACACAGAUAGUCGGAGUCUUUGCAUCAUCAGGAAAUGUGAAGGAAAAUAUCCUAUCGAAGAUCAUUAUUGAUGCUAUCCUACAGUGUGAGCAGGCAGGCCUGAAGGUUGACUAUCUCUGUUGUGACGGGGCAGCCUGGAAUCGGAGCAUGUGGAAACGAUUCGGCAUUAAGGCUACAUCCAGCGACAUCAAGUGCUGCGCUCCUCACCCCGUCGACUUGAACAGGUUCCUUUAUUUUGUGUCGGAUUUCCC